UUUCUAAUUUCAGAAAAUUAAGGAUGGGACUUGAGAAGCUAGCUUGCAAGUUAUGAUUAAACGAGUUUCAAAGAUCUUUCAGGCAUGACAGAAUCAUGGAAGGUCUUAAUGUUACUGAAGAAAUGUUGAACCCUAACUCAGUGGCGAGGCAGAUAAGCGACCAAAUUUCGCUUGCAAAAGCUUUUGUUGUGAUCCAUAAACUCUGUUUUACUUAUUGCUCAAAUGGUUUUGAUUGUUCUAGUGCUGAGAUUUUUAAUUGCAUGUUAUAGCAGUUACUUGAUUUUCUAGUACCAUGAUUCUUAGUCCCACUAAAGAUUUAUUGGUCUAAAUCUAUUACUAAUUUCUAGUACUUUA